AGGACGAACGCUGGCGGCGUGCUUAACACAUGCAAGUCGAGCGGAAAGGCCCUUCGGGGUACUCGAGCGGCGAACGGGUGAGUAACACGUGAGCAACCUGCCCUUAGCUUCGGGAUAGCUCCGGGAAACCGGAAUUAAUACCGAAUAUGAUUUUUGCUGACAUCAGCAGAGGUGGAAAGUUUUUCGGCUAGGGAUGGACUCGCGGCCUAUCAGCUAGUUGGUGAGGUAACGGCCCACCAAGGCGACGACGGGUA
rnacentral:rRNA from 1 species